CGGCGAGUGAAGCGGCAACAGCUCAAAUUUGAAAUCUGGCCUCGGCCCGAGUUGUAAUUUGCAGAGGAUGCUUCGGGCGCGGUGCCUUCCGAGUUCCCUGGAACGGGACGCCAUAGAGGGUGAGAGCCCCGUAUGGUUGGACGCCUAGCCUGUGUGAAGCUCCUUCGACGAGUCGAGUAGUUUGGGAAUGCUGCUCAAAAUGGGAGGUAUAUCUCUUCUAAAGCUAAAUACCGGCCAGAGACCGAUAGCGCACAAGUAGAGUGAUCGAAAGAUGAAAAGCACCUUGAAAAGGGGGUUAAACAGCACGUGAAAUUGUUGAAAGGGAAGGGCCCAUGACCAGACUUGUGUCCGGCGGAUCACCCAGCGUUCUCGCUGGGGCACUCCGCCGGGUCCAGGCCAGCAUCGGUUCUCGCCGGGGGAUAAAGGCUCUGGGAACGUAGCUCCUCCGGGAGUGUUAUAGCCCUCUGCGUAAUACCCUGGCGGGGACCGAGGUACGCGCUCCGCAAGGAUGCUGGCGUAAUGGUCAUCAGCCACCCGUCUUGAAACACGGAUCAAGGAGUCGUCCAUUAGAGCGAGCGUUUGGGUGUCAAACCCGCACGCGUAAUGAAAGUGAACGUAGGUGAGAGCUUCGGCGCAUCAUCGACCGAUCCUGAUGUCCUCGGAUGGAUUUGAGUAUGAGUUUUACUGGACGGACCCGAAAGAUGGUGAACUAUGCCUGUAUAGGGUGAAGCCAGAGGAAACUCUGGUGGAGGCUCGCAGCGGUUCUGACGUGCAAAUCGAUCGUCAAAUAUGGGCAUGGGGGCGAAAGACUAAUCGAACCAUCUAGUAGCUGGUUACCGCCGAAGUU
rnacentral:rRNA from 1 species